GAUUAAUGUUAAAGAGCAUCUGGGUUUCUGGGUUUGUGCUUCAGAAACUGAAUAUGGUAUGCUUUUUCUUCAUGUACUUCAGUGUUUGAGUUUUUGUUGAAUAGAUAUUGGAUGCUAUUUAUGUUCUUCAGAUGUAUAUUUCUGAUUCUUUAUGCUUUAUUGAGCCUUAUUCUGUAGUAUUAUUGUGCUUCAAGAUUCCUAUUUUCUCAUCUGUUUUCUAUUGUUCUUUUAGUUGGAUAUUCACUCUUGUAUAAUUUUUGAAGACACUAUGAAAAAUUACGAUGCUUCUUUUUCAAUGGAUUCUUAAAUUUUUCAAUUUUUUGUUUUCAAAGCAACUUCACAUUGCUUUCUUCCUCAACGAAUGAUGGGUUUGCUUAAUUUGGCCACCAGAAGGCCCCAUGACGUUUGAAUUCCUUAACUGCUUGUUGGGUUUGCAUUUGCAGGAGUUUUUAGGAAUACCCACUUUGAUUACUCUUCCAAUUGAGAAGAUUGUCUCUGGUGGGUUGAAAAUGUACCUGGUGGAGAGCAAAGGAGGAGCCAUAAUAUGCAUGCUGCUGUCUUUGUUCUUCUUAGGGACAUGGCCUGCUAUUUUUACUCUGCUAGAAAGACGAGGCCGUCUUCCUCAGCAUACUUACCUGGAUUAUUCCAUCACAAAUCUCCUGGCUGCUUUAUUUUUUGCUUUAACUUUUGGUGAGAUAGGGAAGAGCACACCAGAGAAACCAAAUUUUAUAACCCAACUUUCUCAGCUGAGUGAAAAUUGGCCUUCAGUCAUGUUUGCAGUGGGUGGUGGUGUGGUGCUUAGCAUUGGAAAUUUAUGCACACAGUAUGCUUUGGCUUUUGCUGGUUUAUCAGUGACAGAAGUGAUUACUGCUAGCAUGACUGUUGUAAUAGGCACAACCUUGAAUUAUUUCUUAGAUGAAAAAAUUAACAAGGCCGAGAUUCUUUUCCCUGGUGUUGGAUGCUUCUUGAUUGCAGUCUGUCUUGCUUCAGCUGUUCACUCAUCCAAUACAGCUGAUAAUAUAGCAAAGCUCAGCAGUUGGUCAAGUGAUUACAAUCUUGGAACAGAAUAUGCCUUUUCUAAUUUCCCUCUUUAUCUCCUAUUAAAUUUCUGAUGGUUAAGAAAUAAUUCGUUUAUUGAUCCAUGUAUUUUGUGAAUGUUGCAAUGUUGCUUAUCGUUUAUUGUAGUGCUUGCAAAGAAUGAACCAGUAGUAGCACUUACAUGAUAUAUGAAUUUCAUAUCAGAAAUUAUUACACUUUCUUUAGGUACAGAGGAUCUGGAAACUGGAAAUGAUACUGCAGAGAAUGUGAAAUUUGGAACGGCAGACUUCCUUGUAGAGCUUGAGAAAAGAAGAGCGAUUAAGGUUUUUGGGAAGAGCACUUUGUCUGGACUUAGCAUAGCCUUCUUUGCUGGUGUUUGCUUCUCAUUGUUCUCACCAGCUUUUAACUUGGCAACAAAUGAUCAAUGGCACGCCUUGAAGAAAGGGGUUGCUAAGUUGGUUGUCUACACUGCAUUUUUUUGGUUUUCAAUCUCUUGUUUUGCACUUGCCAUCAUUCUCAAUGUUAUCUUCCUUUAUCGCCCAUUGCUGAAUUUACCCAGAUCAUCAGUGAAGUCUUAUCUGAAAGACUGGAAUGGCAGAGGUUGGGCGUUUUUGGCUGGUCUCCUUUGUGGGUUUGGAAAUGGUCUCCAAUUUAUGGGUGGUGAAGCAGCAGGAUAUGCAGCUGCAGAUGCAGUUCAGGUUUGUUCUAGUGAAUGCACAAAUGAAAUAAUCAUUUUGCUGAUGAUUCUGAAAAUGGUUUAUAACUUCAUUUAGUCAGUGACAAUCUUGAUUUUCACACAAUUAUGUUCAACGUAGAGCUGAAUGACGAAAAAUGAUUUAUAUAGGUACUCCAACUAAUUUAAAAUUAAGGCUUAAUUGUUGUUAUGUGUUUAACAUAGAGAGCUUAGGUUUCAUUUGACUUAUAAUUUCACCAAAACUUUCAAUUUUGUGGUGGUGAUUUCAGGCACUGCCACUUGUUUCCACUUUUUGGGGCAUAGUUUUGUUUGGAGAGUACCAGAGAUCAUCAAGAAGAACAUAUGUAUUACUAGCCAGCAUGUUGUUAAUGUUUAUUGUAGCUGUUGCAAUUCUAAUGGCAUCAGCAGGGCAUCGAAAGUGAGCUCAGAACGUCAUAACAUGCCUGGAAACUGUACAGAAAAUAGAUUAUUAAGCAGUUCCAUGGUUGAUCAGACAGUCAAUAAAAGAAGUCAUGUAAAAUUUGUUAAUACACCCAUUGGAAGGGAGCUGCUUCCUAAUUCAAGAAAAGAAUCCUGGAUUUCUGUCUAUGAAAUUAUAAUAAAGCAAUAGUAACAGAUUGGUUUUUGGAGGGAGAAAGGUAGACAAGAACAUUAAUAUUGGAAUUCUUGAAGGAUCUUCUGUCAGGAGUUGGUUUGUCUUGAUUUAUUUAACAAAUCCUUGAGUAGAGUCCAUUACUGUGAUGCUUGUACCGGUUUAAUCUUGUUUUCUUCAUUUUCAUCUCUCUCUUUUACAUCACCAUCAUCACUUCUAUGCUUCUCAAGAACAGGAGAUUCAAGUGAUCUUCAAAAAUCUGAAAUGAAAAGACAAGCAUGGGAAUUCUCUUUAUUUAUUUGUAAUGUUCUUAAGAAGAUGAGAUGAGCUGUGGCAUGGAAAAUAUUUACUGAAUGGGAUGGCUGUUUGUAUUACAAAAUAAACAUUGGUAUUGCGUACAAUCUUAUGACUUGUAGCUGGAGUUGAGUGUUCAGUUAAUCAAACUGAAAUAAAU
rnacentral:misc_RNA from 1 species